UUUGGCUUGCGCACGGUGUGCUGCACCCACUGUCCUGCACCCACUGUCUGGCACUCCCUAGUGAGAUGAACCCAGUACCUCAGAUGGAAAUGCAGAAAUCACCCGUCUUCUGCGUCGCUCAUGCUGGGAGCUGUAGACCGGAGCUGUUCCUAUUCGGCCAUCUUGGCACCACCCCCACCUUGGACACCUUUAUGAAAAAUAUUUCAGGGAGAACGCUUUUCAAAGCAUGAACAACAGACAACCUACAUCAGAACCAACUGGAAUGCUUGUUAAACAAAAAAAAGGAAAGCCACAGAUCAACUGAAUCAGCAUCUGUGAGGGGCAGAGCCUGUAUGUCUGCCUCCUAAGUUUGGAUCAUACUACGAUUUGAGAACUGUUGGUGCAGUAUAACUCAUCUGUGUUUUCUGUUCAAUCUCUAGUAGUCACAAUUUCACAAUAAAUUAUUUCCCUACAGUGUUCUAAGUAGUUGCUGUUUUGUUUGUGCAUGGAUUUUUGCCAGAACUCC
rnacentral:lncRNA from 1 species